rnacentral:rRNA from 1 species
UACGUAGGUCACAAGCGUUAUCCGGAUUUAUUGGGCGUAAAGCGUCCGCAGGUUGUUAGACAAGUUUAAGGUUAAAGGCCAGGGCUCAACCCUGGUUCGCCUUGAAAACUGUCUGACUAGAGUAUGAGAGAGAGUAGUGGAAUUGAACAUGUAGCGGUGGAAUGCAUAGAUAUGUUUAGGAACACCAGUGGCGAAGGCGGCUGCUUGGCUCAUAACUGACACUCAGGGACGAAAGCGUGGGGAGCAAAUAGG